ACAAUGUGUGGUCUGGGAUUGUCUAUAUUGGUAAAAGUGAAUGCAUACCAAUAUCCACAAUCCUUGAGCAGGCAAAUGUC
rnacentral:pre_miRNA from 1 species